rnacentral:rRNA from 1 species
UACGUAGGGUGCAAGCGUUGUCCGGAAUCAUUGGGCGUAAAGCGCGCGUAGGUGGCCCAGUUAAGUCCGCUGUGAAAGUCAAAGGCUCAACCUUUGAAGCGGUGGAUGACUGAUCGGCUAGAGUACGGAAGAGGCGAGUGGAAUUCCUGGUGUAGCGGUGGAAUGCGUAGAUAUCUGGAGGAACACCCGUGGUGCAGACGGCUUGCUGGACCAUGACUGACGCUGAGGCACGAAAGCGUGGGUAGCAAACAGG